rnacentral:rRNA from 1 species
CACGAAGUUAGCCGGGGCUUCUUCUCACGCUACCGUCAUUAUCGUCGCGUGCGAAAGAGCUUUACAACCCUAAGGCCGUCAUCACUCACGCGGCAUGGCUGGAUCAGGCUUGCGCCCAUUGUCCAAUAUUCCCCGCUGCUGCCUCCCGUAGGAGUUUGGGCCGUGUCUCAGUCCCAAUGUGGCUGGCCAUCCUCUCAGACCAGCUAUCGAUCGUCGCCAUGGUGGGCCGUUACCCCGCCAUCUAGCUAAUCGAACGCGGGCCAAUCCUUGGCGAUGAAUCUUUCGCCCUCAAGCCGUAUCCGGUAUUAGCGUUCGUUUCCAAACGUUGUUCCGAACCGAGGGUAUGUUCCCACGUGUUACUCACCCGUCUGCCACUCCCGAUUGCUCGGGCGUUCGACUUGCAUGUGUUAAGCCUGCCGCCAGCGUUCGUUCUGAGCCAGGAUCAAACUCU